rnacentral:rRNA from 1 species
UACGGAGGGUGCAAGCGUUAAUCGGAAUUACUGGGCGUAAAGCGUGCGUAGGCGGUUUGUUAAGUCUGUUGUGACAGCCCCGGGCUCAACCUGGGAAUGGCAAUGGAUACUGGCAAGCUAGAGUGUGUCAGAGGAUGGCGGAAUUCCCGGUGUAGCGGUGAAAUGCGUAGAGAUCGGGAGGAACAUCAGUGGCGAAGGCGGCUAUCUGGACCGACAUUGACGCUGAGGCGCGAAAGCGUGGGGAGCAAACAGG